UCCUUUCAAGUCAUAAUUUCAACAUUAGCAAGUGUCAGUAUCCUACAACUCUAAAAAAUAAAAGAGAAAGAAGAGGGGUGGUGAGCUUUACACACUACUAUAAUAAGAGUUUAUGACAGCAUUUACUAUUACAGCGGUUUGAAAAUCACUGCCAUAAGUUUGAGCUAUUGCAGUGGAUAUCGAUAACCACUGUCAUAUGUUACAUAUAGCAGUGGUUACACAUAACCGCUGCUAUACGUUAAAGAUAUAACAGUGG
rnacentral:lncRNA from 1 species